GAUAAACGCUGGCGGCGUGCCUAACACAUGCAAGUCGAACGUCCUUUCGCGCAAGUGAGAGGGAGUGGCGGACGGGUGAGUAGCACGUGGGUACCUACCGUGAGGUGAGGAAUACCACCGAGAAAUCGGUGACAAGACCGCAUACCUUCGGCAACGAAGAAAGUCAUGCAAAUGACGCCACACGAUGGGCCUGCGCCUGAUUAGCUAGUUGGUGAGGUAAGAGCUACCAAGGCCACGAUCAGUAGCUGGUCUGAGAGGGUGAUCAGCCACACUGGGAUUGAGAACGGCCCAGACUCCUACGGGG
rnacentral:rRNA from 1 species